CUUUAUCAGCUGGGCUUCUCCUAGUUUUGUGAAGGGUGUUUUGGUUCUUUCCUUAUUUCGUUUGUUUGUUAUUUUGUUUGUUUGUUUUUUUCUUUUGAGGCUGUUCGCUUGCUUUGGAGGGGAUUUUGCUUGCUUAAAUCGGCAGCCUUAUGUGUUUUCCCCCAACAGUGAAAAUACAAUUUAAAAAUUUUUAUUAACCAGAUCAAAUAUUUACCAUUGCAAUAUGAAGGAAACUCAACAGUUCAAAAAAAUUGCAACUUAUCACUGGCAAGUGGCUGAGUGUCUACUCUAAAAUAACAAGCUGUCUGGACUGUCCUCUUGAAAUACACAACGUCUUCGGUCUUUUCAAACAAACGUUAAAAUCAAUCCGUUUCCGUACCUCAGCAGAUGAGCAAUUCCCUCUUAUGGCCAGCAAUGGUAGAGUUUAAAACUUCCCAGUUGAGAAAGUAAACUUUGAAUACAAAGAAUUCUGUAAAUUCAGAUUUAAAUGUUGUAUAUAUACAAUUUAUAGUGUUGCCAUAUUACCUGACCGUUGACCCUGCAGGUAACUCACGUAGUGCUCCACCUACACGAGGGCCCCCGCCAUCUUAUGGUGGAAGCAGUCGCUAUGAUGAUUACAGCAGCUCACGUGACGGAUAUGGUGGAAGUCGAGACAGUUACACAAGCAGCCGAAGUGAUCUCUACUCAAGUGGUCGUGAUCGCGUGGGCAGACAAGAACGAGGGCUUCCCCCUUCUAUGGAAAGGGGGUACCCUCCUCCACGUGAUUCCUACAGCAGUUCAAGCCGCGGAGCACCAAGAGGUGGUGGCCGUGGAGGAAGCCGAUCUGAUAGAGGGGGCAGAAGCAGAUACUAGGAACAAACAAAACUUUUGGACCAACAAUCCCCAUUCAAAGAAACAAACAAAAAAAUGGAAACUUUCUGUCAUAAACUACCCAAGGACUACUAAAGGAAAAAUUGUGUUACCUUUUUAAAAUUUCCUGUUCCCCUUAAUAAUUUUUAUGUUCUUGUGAGGGAAAAAGUAAGACAUGUUUAAUUUUAUUUGCUAUUAUGAGUUGCUUUCAACAAGCAAAUGUUAGAUGUGUAAGCCGUGACUUGUUACUAGUGUUGUAAUUUUCCAAGUAAAAGUGUCCCUGAAGGCCACUUCCUGAUUUUUCCCAGCAAAUGAGGCAAGCAACCCCAAGAUCUUCCACAAACAUUUAGCCAUCUAGAUGUCCUUUGGUCUCCAUUGAGAGUUGAAUCACCCUGCCUGUGCAGACAAGCUAGCCAUUAGAGAGGGUUGGUGGGGUGUGAGGAUUUCAGGGUGUCUUCCAACUGAAAUCUCAAUGUUCGCAGUAUAUAUAUAUUCAAACAAACAAACCAAGCUGAGAUCAGAUGCCUAGGCAUGUACUAUUUACCCAGAAACCCCCCCCCCUCAAAAAAAGCAAAUGGAUGCUGGCCAUAUUUUGCUUUUCUGACCUUUCCUUGGGAAUCUACAAGAACCUCCCUUCCCCCUCCCCGAGUAAGACCAUUUAAGUGUGUGUUAAACAACUACAAAAUACUAAAUAAAAAGUUUGGCCAAAAUCAACCAUGAAGCUGCAAAAACGAUGCUUGCUCUUACUGUUUCAAAUGUUUGCAACUCUGUAGUGUCUCACUUUUAAAGGAACAGCUUGAUUGCAAAGGAGAAAAUAGAUAAGCAAUGAAGUUAUCUCCAACCUCCUAAAGGCUUAUGACUUCUAAAAAGUGAAUCUAUCAGCAUUCCACAUCAGAUUUAAAGCACCAAAUGCCUGUGAAACAGCAAAGAUGGUUGAACCUAAUGGUCAUACAGUCAUGGAGUGCUGAUUGAUUCACAGUAGAUAAAGCUGGCAGUAAGAGACAGUCAAAUGAUCAGAGUUGUCUUUGAAGCAGAGGAAUGCUGAGACUAAGCCACAGCACUUACUGACCCAGUACUCAUCAGAAUUGGUUUGGUACAGGCAAUAGAUUUUUUUGUCUUCAAGGGAGGGAGGCUGGUUAAACCUUAAUUCAAAUUAACCCAUUAGAAAAAGGGAGACUAGUCGGUAAGUGGAAGUACCUGUCCAAGACGUUCGGGUGACUUUUUAUAGACAGUUCAGUAGUUCGGACAAACUGAUGGGGCAGCUGGGCAAUUUAGACUGCUCAAUGACUAGAAGAAAAUUGAAUUAGCUGCGACUGUAACUCCAUGGUGGAGUGCUUGCCUAAGUACCAGUGAGGACUAGAGUUCAACCCCUGGCGGCACACAGACACAUUUCAAUCAGAAAAGUUAUACCUCAGUGGUAACUUUAUUCACUG
rnacentral:lncRNA from 1 species